AGAGGAGGGAGAAAAAUGGCGGAGUAGUGAGCGCCAGAAACUCAGCUUCUCUAGGACAAAGUGCCUGGAGUCUAGAAAACAGCUUGGAGAGGAGCCGAAGUGAGUGGAAGGUACACAGGAACCACGUGAGAACUGACAGGAAAAAAAAAAGCGGUAUUGAGUGAACGCAGAGGAAAAGACCAUCACCCGAGACCGGAAGCCGCGCCCUGUCCUGGACAGUGGCUGAGUGGCCGCCGGCUGUGCGGCAGCGAAAACGUUUCUGCUCCCAGACAGAGGGACACCUUCUCCUGGACCAGGCUUCGGAGGCAGCGAUCUUCAAAAAUGCCAAACUGAAAAAACAUCUUAUCAUACUGAUGACUUCCAGGCUAAAGUUAUCUAUGCGGUAAACUUUUUCAGGCUUAAAUGUCUGCCUAUCCCUUGCUGUUUUCCAGCUACUUAUGAUGAAAUAUACAUGCCAGCCCAGUAUGAGACAGCCAGCCAG
rnacentral:lncRNA from 1 species